rnacentral:rRNA from 1 species
CGCCUGCCCAGUGACUAAUUUAAACGGCCGCGGUAUCAUGACCGUGCAAAGGUAGCGUAAUCACUUGUCUUUUAAAUAAAGACCUGUAUGAAAGGCAAAACGAAAGUUCAACUGUCUCUUUAAUCCAAUCAAUGAAAUUUAUCUUUUCGUGCAGAAGCGAAAAUAAAUAUAUAAGACGAGAAGACCCUAUGGAGCUUUAAACACACUAUUAACUACCAUAAUAUCUUAGCCAACAGGAAAAAAAUAAAACCACAUAGCUAUAAUAUAAGUUUUGGGUUGGGGCGACCACGGAGAAAAAUAAAUCCUCCGAGAUAAAUAAUUUAGAGUAACACCUCGAAAAUUAAAACAUUUAUUAUAAAUGAUCCACUAAGUGACCAACGAACCAAGUUACCCUAGGGAUAACAGCGCAAUCCUUUCUAAGAGUCCAUAUCGACGAAUGGGUUUACGACCUCGAUGUUGGAUCAGGACACCCAAAUGGUGCAGCCGCUAUUAAAGGUUCGUUUGUUCAACGAUUAAAGUCCUACGUGAUCUG